rnacentral:ncRNA from 1 species
GUUAAAGCUAUGAACGGUUGCAGUAGGUUCUGCGCACUUCUACACAGAGAGUCGAUGGCUGGUGAGAAUCGACAGAGGUUCAGAACUGAAUUACGUCCGGGAGCAUCUUCUGGUGUGAAUCAGAGGACGGUUGCAUGUAUUUGCAGCCGUUAUAUAAAUGAAGUGGCACAUAAGUGCAACCAGGGUGGUACCGCGACCGUUAAGACCUCGUCCCUUUC